UACGUAGGUGGCAAGCGUUGUCCGGAUUUACUGGGCGUAAAGAGCGCGCAGGCGGUCGUUCAAGUCGCGUGUGAAAGCCCCCGGCUCAACUGGGGAGGGUCACGCGAUACUGAUCGACUCGAAGGCAGGAGAGGGAAGUGGAAUUCCCGGUGUAGUGGUGAAAUGCGUAGAGAUCGGGAGGAACACCCGUGGCGAAGGCGGCUCACUGGGCUGACCUUGACGCUGAGGCGCGAAGGCGUGGGGAGCGAACAGG
rnacentral:rRNA from 1 species